CCCUUCUCUUCUCUUCCUCAUUAUGAGUUUUCUGCAUUUCCGUUUGUCUGAUUAUUUUCUUGAUGUCAGAUUUAGGUCUUUCCGUUUCCAAGUUGAAAGAAUAGACCAAGUGGAUUAACAUCUAGUUUGAGUAGCUACUUUUACCUGAGAGGCAGGUUAGCUAUAGGAAAAGAAUGUUGAAACCAAUCCUAGGAGAGACCUAGUCAGACCCUAGUUUAGUCACUUUGUGGUUAAGACACUUCUCUAGGAGUAGAAAAUCUUCAGACCAGUUCUAACUAAACAGAGUUGCUUGUGCAUUGGCCUGACCUUUGUGCAACACACUCUUAAGGGUUCCUGUAUAUGGGCUCUGUUUCAUAGGCAUCCUUAUAAACCUGAACCUAUGCCAAUCCCUUCCAAAAAUCUGUCAUGUCCUGAUCUUCCAGUUCCCUAAGACAAUGGAACUUCUCCCAUGCUCCUUGAGUCCUAGAAAACUGGACAUUUUAACCAUGUGUUUGUUCUUGAGCCACCUCUCUCACGCCUGCCAUUUCCUGUAAUGUAUUUUCUCUAUUAAAGUUGCUUUACCGCUUACUUU